AGGGUUUGAUUGGCUCAGAACUAACGCUGGCGGUGUGUCUUAGUCAUGCAAGUCGCACGAGAAAGCACUCUUCGGAGUGCAAGUACAGUGGCGGACGGGUGAGUAACACGUGGGAAAUCUGCCCUCAAGUUGGGGACAACCCGCCUAACGGCGGGCUAAUACCGAAUGUGGUUCCUGCUUCGCAUGUGGCGAGAACUAAAGGUGGCCUAUCCUUGGAAGCUACCGCUUGUGGAUGAUCCCGCGCUCGAUUAGCUAGUUGGUAAGGUAACGGCUUACCAAGGCGACGAUCGAUAGCCGGCCUGAGAGGGUGAUCGGCCACACUGGGAUUGAGAUAAGGCCCAGUCUCCUACGGGAGCCAGCAGUCUAGAAAUUUGGGCAAUGGGCGAAAGCCUGACCCAGCGACACCGCGUGGGGGAUGAAGCUCCUCGGAGUGUAAACCCCUGUUAGGUGGGACGAAUCCCCGGUUGCAAAUAGUGACCGGGGUUGACGGUACCACCAGAGGAAGCUCCGGCUAACUCCGUGCCAGCAGCCGCGGUAAUACGGGGGGAGCGAGCGUUGUUUCGGAUUUAUUGGGCGUAAAGGGCGUACAGGCGGUAAUGUAAGUCAGAUGUGAAAUGCCUUCGGCUCAACCGGGGAUCCUGCAUUUGAUACUGCAUUACUUGAGGUACAGGAGAGGAGAGCGGGAAUUCUAGGUGUAGCG
rnacentral:rRNA from 1 species